CGUGCCAGCGUAUUUCCUUAAUGCAUGAAAAAGAAACUGAAAAUGGAAAAAGAAAAGCAACCCGUCCCGCGCGCAUGGCGCGCAGAGGGUGAGGAAACAAAAAGAAAAUGAAAAAGGAAAAGGCGCUCGGACUUCUCGAAGCACACCAUGGCACACCUUCGACGCCCUGAGUGCCUGCGCAUGCGUAAUUGCAGCAACGGUGGUGUGCCAUCUCAGCGUCAAAUUGAAUUCUCAGCGAGUGCGCUAGACACGUAGACGCUUGUUGCAGCAGUGUGCGUGGUGGGCAGUGCCUGCCUGUACCUUGGUGUCUGUUUAGGCGUGUCUUCUUUGUGGCAUCACACGCCAACUACAGUGAAUGCCUUGAUCUAAACUGCAACUAUCAUGUGCUGCACAUGUGGUCUCGACAUCAAGUUCCUUGUGGAUUCUUGUCACAGAGGUGUACGACGUGAAGCAGGGAACUGAACUUCGAAGGACAAACACGAGGAGAGUGUGUUGGGAGGAUAGUUGUUUCUUCCGUACAACGCAAGCAGGGUACUUAUGAAGAAAGAAAAUUAAAAGAGGAAGAAAUUUGUCAAGCGGAAGGAAACUAGGCACCGGUCGCAGCAAGUAAGACGAUGCGGAGUCGCGUUCCACGGUGCAGAUCUCCAUAACAAAGAGCUCUCUUCGUUCGUGCUUCCUGGCCCCAAGGAAUCUCUGGCGGCGGUCCUGGCCCCUGUGAGCGGGUGGAGCUUCGUCCUGCUGGGGAUGCCCUUGCUUUGAACGUCUUGGCUUUAAUGGAUGACUUCAACAACCUUCCGCCCCACGAUGGAUGAUAGGAGUUUCUGGGCCAACUAGAGACCUUUCAAAGAUGACUUCAACAACCUUCCGCCCCACGAUGGAUGAUAGGAGUUUCUGGGCCAACUAGAGACCUUUCAAAGAACGAUGAAGGGGAUAUUCGCAAGGGAAACUACGCUACGUGGAGAGGCGUUGGUUCUACCUGCUGGCACUUCCUCACUAAGGCCUCGAGCUUCCCAAAGGGCGUAAACGUGAAGGGCGUGUUAUGAAAAGCGUACAUUACAGGAUAAUAAACGCCAGCUUCCUAAAUUUUCAAUCAUGCUGCUGAUUGGAUGCCGCUGCACGAGCGAGGAGGAGACCAGCGGCCCCAGCCAAUCAGCAGCAGCCGAAAUGGACAGUCCACUAGGCGGACUCUUGCAGAAUACCACCCCAGGGCUCCUGCUGCCAGUGCUCGAGACGCUGGCUGACCCGAGGGCCGCCGGUCCUUGAGCUGUUGCACCCGAGCUGUGCCGAGCAACUUUCGAGUCUGGCACAGAUGUCCUGCGCUCGACGGGGUCCUCACGUGCGACCACCACGCGUGGAUUGCGAGCGGCGUACGAGCUGGGCACCGAGGCUCUGCUGGACGUGCGACUGCGGCACGUCGGUCGCGAGCGGCGUCCGAGCUAGGCACCGAGGCCGCGCGGAACAAGGCAUCCCUUGGCUGCGGCCACUGCGGCUCCUGAGCGUGCCAAGCCCGAGAACCAUGCUGAACGGGGCCUGAACAUGUCGUCGUCGCAGCCAGCUCGAGGACGGGUGAACGCACAGUGCCAUGACGACCAAACCGUGCGCCGCACAACACGGGACAGUUUCAGCCGUUUAUUCCCGUGUGCUGUAUGUGUGUAGACACUGUGUGU